CUCAGAGCGAACGCUGGCGGCAGGCCUAACACAUGCAAGUCGAACGGAUCCUUCGGGAUUAGUGGCGGACGGGUGAGUAACACGUGGGAAUGUGCCCUUUGGUUCGGAACAACUCAGGGAAACUUGAGCUAAUACCGGAUAAGCCUUUCGAGGGAAAGAUUUAUCGCCAUUGGAGCGGCCCGCGUAGGAUUAGCUAGUUGGUGGGGUAAAGGCCCACCAAGGCUACGAUCCUUAGCUGGUCUGAGAGGAUGAUCAGCCACAUUGGGACUGAGACACGGCCCAAACUCCUACGGGAGGCAGCAGUGGGGAAUCUUGCGCAAUGGGCGAAAGCCUGACGCAGCCAUGCCGCGUGAAUGAUGAAGGUCUUAGGAUUGUAAAAUUCUUUCACCGGGGACGAUAAUGACGGUACCCGGAGAAGAAGCCCCGGCUAACUUCGUGCCAGCAGCCGCGGUAAUACGAAGGGGGCUAGCGUUGCUCGGAAUUACUGGGCGUAAAGGGAGCGUAGGCGGAUAGUUUAGUCAGAGGUGAAAGCCCAGGGCUCAACCUUGGAAUUGCCUUUGAUACUGGCUAUCUUGAGUACGGAAGAGGUAUGUGGAACUCCGAGUGUAGAGGUGAAAUUCGUAGAUAUUCGGAAGAACACCAGUGGCGAAGGCGACAUACUGGUCCGUUACUGACGCUGAGGCUCGAAAGCGUGGGGAGCAAACAGGAUUAGAUACCCUGGUAGUCCACGCUGUAAACGAUGAGUGCUAGUUGUCGGCAGGCAUGCCUGUCGGUGACGCAGCUAACGCAUUAAGCA
rnacentral:rRNA from 2 species